rnacentral:rRNA from 1 species
ACGGACGAGAAGCUUGCUUCUCUGAUGUUAGCGGCGGACGGGUGAGUAACACGUGGAUAACCUACCUAUAAGACUGGGAUAACUUCGGGAAACCGGAGCUAAUACCGGAUAAUAUUUUGGAACCGCAUGGUUCAAAAGUGAAAGACGGUCUUGCUGUCACUUAUAGAUGGAUCCGCGCUGCAUUAGCUAGUUGGUAAGGUAACGGCUUACCAAGGCAACGAUGCAUAGCCGACCUGAGAGGGUGAUCGGCCACACUGGAACUGAGACACGGUCCAGACUCCUACGGGAGGCAGCAGUAGGGAAUCUUCCGCAAUGGGCGCAAGCCUGACGGAGCAACGCCGCGUGAGUGAUGAAGGUCUUCGGAUCGUAAAACUCUGUUAUUAGGGAAGAACAUAUGUGUAAGUAACUGUGCACAUCUUGACGGUACCUAAUCAGAAAGCCACGGCUAACUACGUGCCAGCAGCCGCGGUAAUACGUAGGUGGCAAGCGUUAUCCGGAAUUAUUGGGCGUAAAGCGCGCGUAGGCGGUUUUUUAAGUCUGAUGUGAAAGCCCACGGCUCAACCGUGGAGGGUCAUUGGAAACUGGAAAACUUGAGUGCAGAAGAGGAAAGUGGAAUCCCAUGUGUAGCCGGUGAAAUGCGCAGAGAUAUGGAGGAACACCAGUGGCGAAGGCGACUUUCUGGUCUGUAACUGACGCUGAUGUGCGAAAGCGUGGGGAUCAAACAGGAUUAGAUACCCUGGUAGUCCACGCCGUAAACGAUGAGUGCUAAGUGUUUAGGGGGUUUCCGCCCCUUAGUGCGCUGCAGCUAACGCAUUAAGCA